rnacentral:rRNA from 1 species
AUAAACGCUGGCGGCGUGCUUAACACAUGCAAGUCGAGCGAGAAAGGGGUUCGCCCUGAGUAAAGCGGCAAACGGGUGAGUAACGCGUGGGAAUCUACCUUUCGGUGAAGAAUACCCUCAAGAAAUUGAGGUUAAUACUGCAUACGUCCUAACGGAGAAAGAUGGCUUUAUUGCUGUCGUCGAAAGAUGAGCCUGCGUACUAUUAGCUAGUUGGUGGGGUAAUGGCCUACCAAGGCGAAGAUGGUUAGCCGGCCUGAGAGGGUGUACGGCCACACUGGAACUUAGACACGGUCCAGACUCCUACGGGAGGCAGCAGUGAGGAAUAUUGCGCAAUGGGCGAAAGCCUGACGCAGCGACGCCGCGUGGAGGAUGAAGGUCUUAGGAUUGUAAACUUCUGUUAAGUGGGAGGAAAUUACCGAGAGUAAUAUGCUCGGGGGAUGACAGUACCAUUAGAGAAAGCACCGGCUAACUUCGU